CAUGGCGUCGUCAGCUCGUGCCGUAAGGUGUCCGGUUAAGUCCGGUAACGAGCGCAACCCCUAUGUUUAGUUGCCAGCACGUAAGGUGGGAACUCUAAAGAGACUGCCGGCGACAAGCCGGAGGAAGGCGGGGACGACGUCAAGUCAUCAUGGCCCUUAUGCCUUGGGCUACACACAUGCUACGAUGGCGGAUACAAUGGGUUGCCAAACUGUGAAGUGGAGCCAAUCCCAUCAAAGUCCGUCUCAGUUCGGAUUGCAGGCUGCAACUCGCCUGCAUGAAGUUGGAAUCGCUAGUAAUCGUGGAUCAGCACUGCCACGGUGAAUACGUUCCCGGGCCUUGCACACACCGCCCGUCACACCACGAAAGUCGGUUCUACCCGAAGUGGUUGAGCUAACCCGCAAGGGGGGCAGACUCCUAAGGUAGGGCUGGUGAUUGGGGUGAAGUCGUAACAAGGUAGCCGUAA
rnacentral:rRNA from 1 species